UGUAAUCUCAACACUAUUUUCAGCUUGUAGAAUGCCUGUUGAAUGGGGAGGUGUAUCUUCACAAAUACAGCAGAAAAAGAAGCUUUACAUCCAGUAAUAGUAUUUCGACAUGCCGGCCAGAAGUCUGUUGUUACAGCAGUGUCACUAAUCAAGCAUACUCCUUUGCUUUCGAUAUGUCUUCACCGCCUUGUAGAGUUGCAGUACUUGGACAUGUAGUACAAUGCCAUGUUGGUGA